rnacentral:sRNA from 1 species
CCCAUGGCUCCAAUCAUGUUUUGGGUAUAGUAGGUAUUCAGUAAAUAUUUGUUCAGUUGCAAAAUUUCAUCACAUUCCCUAUAAGCCACCACAAAUUAUUCUGUGAAUAAAGGAAGUCAUAAAGAAUAAAUGAUUAUAUAUAUACAUAUAUAUAUAUUGGCUUCAUAGGAAUUAUGAAUCUUAUGGCAGAAAUCAGUAGUAGAAUAAAAGUGAUAGUUCCAAAGCUGUUUUUCAAAUUCAGAUUUUAUUAAGUUUCACGUCAUGCCUAAUUUUUAUUAGGACUUUACCCAGAAAUUUUCCUUUCCUUUCACAGCUCGUAAAACUUCUCUAUUAAGAACACUGAAUCUAUCCUUCCUUUACAAGUUAAAGUGUUCCAAACUUUAAACUUGAAUGUUUUCUAAAAUAGAAUGACUGUAGUGGCAUGUAGCUGUAUCUCAGAGUCUAAAAUACUGCCUGGCAGAUAGAAAGCUCUGAGUAAAUAAUUGGUGAAUGAAUAAUUAUAAUUAGUUUUAGUUUUUUAAUUCAUAAUUUAGGGUGAAAUAAGAUUUUAAUUAUAAAGCAAGAUUAUGAGGUUUGUGGAAAAAAAGAUAUACUAAAAAUACUCCUUUUCAUUUAUUUAUUUUAUUGGAAUUAAAUUUUUUAGCUGCAAAACGAUUACUGUAGAACUUUACCAGUAUUCUUUUGAUUUCUUAAAAUAGAAACCUUAAGUAGGUUUAAUUAUGCCCUCUGGUGACUAGAAUAAGAAAAUGCAAAAGAUACAUCUUUGUAAGAACUUUCAAACUACUUUUGACUCCUAAUAGUGACUUUAGUUUUCACAAAUAGUUCUGAGGAAGGUAUUAUUAUUAUUAUUUUCUUUUUCUGGUUAUGCUAAAAUAGGAUUUUCAUCAGAGACUCUACAAGUCACAGAAUAUGACAGAGGAAAAUGUUUAGACAAUGAGAUAAAUAAAAAUAAAAGUUCCAUCUUGUAUAUUAAUUGCAUUUUUUCCCAAACUCGAGUUAUUUCCCUAAAAAGCUUACAAAUUUAAUUGGUAUACAUCUAAUUAGUAAAAUAUGAGAAUAUUCUAAAUAUCUAGUAACAUGUUAAUUUUUAUUUCUCAUAGCAAGAUGAUGAUCAUUGAUUCUAGAGAUGUGAAUAAAAUACUUUGAGACUAAAGUUAGUGAAUUGCAAGCUGAUAGAUUUUGAUAAUCUGCAGUGGAAUUUGUCUUUUUAUCUCUUAAUUUUAAAGACACAUUAAAAAAUCAGCUGAUUACUAUUGUUUUGUAACCUUUAAAGUUUAAAAAAUAUGAGCCAAUUAAUGAUACUGCCAAUUAAUAUGGAAAUUAGACUUAAUUAUGCAGAUAUAACUUUCUCUCUUCAGAAAGAUAGAUGUCACAGUGAAUUUAAAACCAGAUUAUUUCUCUUAAGUCAGCUUUAGGUCUUUAGUAGAAAUGUGCAAUUUGUUUCAAACUACAUUGCCAAGCAUUUUCUCAUUCCUUUUUUUUUUCCAGGCAAGAACUGCCUCCCUUUGACAGAUGGCUAAAUUUCAUGGACUCUCUUUUAAAAUUAUGUUUAACUUUACCCCUUCUCCUAAUUUUAGCCUAAAUCCAUUUAACCUUCUAUCUGCAAGACUUGCUCUCUCCCCUAAUCCUUUUUCCCUUUUCUUCCCAAAAGGGUAUUCUUUACCCCUUGGCACUCUUCUUACCUUCUCUCUCAUUCCUCGUGAAUGACUCCUAAAUGUUUCUUCCUUAUUCUUUCUGCCCUGGUAGCAUGUCUGUCUUUGAGGAUUCCAUGUAGAUAAAAAAUACCUCCAAGGAUUCCCAGACCACAGUUUGGGUAACACUGGUUAAUUAACAUUUUAAUUUAACAUAAAGCUUCCAAAAUUUUCCCAUGCCAAAUUUCUAUCUUCUACCAUUCCUAUUUUCUCAUUUGUCCUCAUGCAGGGACUAUCCUCACAUGUAUUAUUUUUAAUGCAGCAAAAGAAGAAGAAUGAUAAAUCACCAACAAACAGGUUUGUGAGUGUUCCCAAUCUAAGUGCUCUGGAAUCUGGUGGAGUGGGCAAUGGACAUCCUAACCGCCUGGAUCCCAUUCCUAAUUCUCCAGUCCACGAUACUGAGUUCAACAGCAGCAAACCACUUCCACAGCCAGUGCCACCUAAAGGGCCCAAGACAUUUUUGAGUCCUGCUCAGAGUGAAGCUUCUCCAGUGGCUUCUCCAGAUCCCCAGCGCCAGGAGUGGUUUGCCCGGUACUUCACAUUCUGAAAGAAUUGUGUUGGCACAGCUCUGUAUAGACUGUUACUAAGAGCAUGACUUUAUACAGAUUGUUAUGUAAAUAGGCUUUCCUAUGUCAAACACUGUGAAUGAGAAAGUAUUUGUUUCUCCAACUUGAAAAUGCACUGUAUUUCCUGUGAUAUUUAUUGGAAUCAUUCUAUAAGGUACUAUAUUAUGUGUGUAAUUAUAACUGUUAUUUUUAUUUGAGAUGGAAGAGUCUUUAACCUUUGUAAUUACUGCAUAAUAAAUUUUGUUAGAACAAA